UAGGUCCAAGCUUAGAACCUGGCUCUUGG
rnacentral:piRNA from 1 species